rnacentral:rRNA from 1 species
UACAGAGGUCUCAAGCGUUGUUCGGAUUCAUUGGGCGUAAAGGGUGCGUAGGUGGCGAGGUAAGUUGGAUGUGAAAUCCCAGGGCUCAACCCUGGAACUGCAUUCAAUACUGCCUUGCUAGAGUACUGGAGAGGAGAUUGGAAUUUACGGUGUAGCAGUGAAAUGCGUAGAUAUCUGGAGGAACACCGGUGGCGAAGGCGGCGUCCUGGACCAACACUGACACUGAUGAGCGAAAGCCAGGGGAGCAAACGGG